GGGGGGGGUGAGGACGAAUGAGGAGCACCGCAGCAGGAUUACUGGAGCUGUCGGCAAGCUCGCCGUCAGCAGUACUGGAGCCUGAGGUAGGAGGCGAGGAGCACUCCACCGCUUGCCACUGGCCUGCUGCUGGAGACUGAGACGGGAGGACGCGAGGAGCACAACGCCGUGUGGUAGCCAAUGAGCUGCUACUGGGCCUGAGAGGGGGAGGAGGUGAGUAACCCACCGCCGGCUUGUUGCCGGUUUGCCGCUAGCUGGCAGAUAUUGUGGCGCUGACAAUAUUGAGUAUUAAAGGGAGCAAGAGGAUCAGGAGUUGGAGUCUGUACACAGGGAUUGUGGUAGGCUAGGGUUACAUAUGCCGAACUUUGACUGGGCUGGGCCAUAUCGAAGAAGUAUCAGGGAACAUAUCUGCAUUAAUUUAUUGCCUAUAUUCACUGAUACUGGCAUUGAUACAUAUCGGGACAUAUUGGGAACGAACUGUAUCGAAUACUGUAUCUGAUACAGAUAUGCUGGUUGCUGGACGUAUCGGUGUCUUUUUUAGUAAGUAGUAAUGAACCCCCUUUCGAGAGAAUGGAAAAGUUAUGCUCACAAAUUACAUCUGUGCACUUUAUUCUAUAGUUGCAUUUGCGUAGUCACAAAAAACAAUGGUGCGCCUUAUUAUUCGAAAAAGAAAAUCUCCGGUUGUUUAGCUCAAUUCAAACUGUUUAGUCUGUGUAUUUCCUGUGUUUAUUGCACACAUUCUUCUACAUGUGUUACCUCUUGAAAUCAUAUUUAUUUGAUAGUCUCUGUUGUUCUGUUAUGCUGAAAUAACCACUAAACAUAUCAUAUUUAUUUUAUAGAUCGUGCCAUUGUAAUCAUUUAUACUUAUUAUCCAUGCUAAUUAACUAAAUAUAGAAUUUUGCAACCAUUAACAACCAUAUGCUGAAAUAACCGAUAAGCAUAUCACAGNNN
rnacentral:lncRNA from 1 species